CCACUCUCUCUCUUUCUCCCCCAGCAGUGCGUGGUGGGGGGGGAGGGCCGCGCCUGACCGUCACGCCCCCCGCUCGAGUCGUGUUCGCCUCCGGGACGGGCGUAGUAUUGGCUUGCCUGGCGGAGGGGUCGCCGCCCCCCGCCGUGACCUGGACCACGCGGGAGGGACACGCCCUGGCCCCCCACUCCCCCUACAUGGACGUGCUCAACAACGGCUCCCUGGUGCUGCGGCCGUUCUCCCCUGAGAGAUACCGCGCUGACGUCCACGCCGCUACAGUCAGGUGCCGCGCCUCCAACCUGCACGGGGUGGUGGUGUCCCCGCCAGUUACCCUUCAAGCAGUAGUGUGGCAGGACUUCACCGUGAGGGCGGAGGGGGCACGUGCGGUUGUGGGUGGAUCUGCUGUCCUGCGCUGCCGUGUGCCUUCCCACCUGUCCGACCACGUCACGCCCACAGCCUGGGAGACGCCCACACACACUAUCUACCCGUCCCUUGUCCCACAGGGCCGCUACCAGAUGGUGGGGUGGACGGGCGACCUGCUGGUGACGGAGGUGACCCGCGAGGACGCCUUCACCGCCUUCUCCUGCCGCGUGAGGGACCAGCUGGGCGGCGGGAGGGAGCUGUCUUCCCGCACGCCCGCCAAGAUUACCGUCCAGGAACCAGGGGAGAUGACGCGCCCUGUGAUUCAGAACAAGCUGCACGCCGUCACCGUCCCCAUGGGUGGCACAAUCGUUCUGCCCUGCGUCGCCACCGGUACGCCCACGCCCUCCGUCAGGUGGGGCUCUUAUCCAGGCAGCAUGGGCGUGGGGCUUGGUGAUCGCCGCUCCCUCCCGCCCACGCCCGGAUCUGCAGUGCUGGUGAUCGAGGCCGCCCACGCUGCAGACGCCCACCCCUAUACCUGCACCGCCAACAACUCAUUAGGCAUUGACCAGGUGAGCGUGGACGUGGAGGUGGAGUCCCGUCUCACCGUCACCGUCACUCCCAGUUCCCUCACGGCUGAUCUCGGGGGCACAGCUACCUUCGCCUGCACUGUGUCUGACCCCGCUGCCUCCGUGUCCUGGUACUACAACGGGUCCCCGGUGGUGGGUAGCGGGCGCGUGGUGGCGGCAGGGCGGCAGCUGAUUGUGUCCGGCGUGACUCACGACGACCCGGGGAUGUACCAGUGCCAGGCUGUCAGGAGGUCACAGGCCGCCCAACACGCCGCUCAACUGCUGCUAGGAGACUCGGGCCCAGUGCUGCACUACCGCUUCAUCGAACAGACCAUUCAGCCCGGCCCGCCCGUUUCUCUGAAGUGCUCCGCCGUCGGGAACCCCACGCCCACCAUCACCUGGACCCUCGACGGCCUCCCCAUCCCGCAGACAGACAGGGUGGUGGUGGGGGAGCAGCUGGGGUCGCGGGGCAAGGUGGUGGGUCAUGUGAACGUGUCCCACACCCGCGUGGAGGACGGGGGGCGCUACCAGUGUGUGGCCACCAACAGGGCUGGGGUGGCCUCCCACUCUGCCUCCCUCAACAUUUACGGCCUGCCAGUCACGCGGCCCCUCGCUUCCGUGACUGCCGUGGCGGGGAGCAGAUGGAGCUGUGGUGUCCCGUGGCCGGCUACCCCAUCCACUCCUUCAGCUGGAUCAAAGACGGGGUGGGGGUGGAGCAGGCCCCGGAGCGACGCGUGCAGGGGGACGGCGUGCUGCUCGUAGAGAAGGUGCGGCAGCAGGACGACGCCGGAGUGUACACCUGCAGCGCCGCCACCAAGCAGGGCCGCUCCGCUACAGGCUCCGUCAGGGUGUCCGUGCUGGUUCCCCCUCGUAUUGAACCUUUUUCGUUCCAAGAGGGUUUGUCGGAAGGCAUGCGAACUCGUGUGGUUUGUGGAGUGAAUAAGGGUGAUUCUCCCCUAAAACUGGAAUGGUUCAAGGAUGGGCGGUCCCUCUCCCCGGGGAGGCCGCCCGACAUU